GAUGAACGCUGGCGGCGUGCCUAAUACAUGCAAGUCGAGCGAACAGACGAGGAGCUUGCUCCUCUGACGUUAGCGGCGGACGGGUGAGUAACACGUGGAUAACCUACCUAUAAGACUGGGAUAACUUCGGGAAACCGGAGCUAAUACCGGAUAAUAUAUUGAACCGCAUGGUUCAAUAGUGAAAGACGGUUUUGCUGUCACUUAUAGAUGGAUCCGCGCCGCAGUAGGUAGUUGGUAAGGUAACGGCUUACCAAGGCAACGAUGCGUAGCCGACCUGAGAGGGUGAUCGGCCACAUUGGAACUGAGACACGGUCCAGACUCCUACGGGAGGCAGCAGUAGGGAAUCUUCCGCAAUGGGCGAAAGCAUGACGGAGCAACGCCGCGUGAGUGAUGAAGGUCUUCGGAUCGUAAAACUCUGUUAUUAGGGAAGAACAAAUGUGUAAGUAACUAUGCACGUCUUGACGGUACCGAAUCAGAAAGCCACGGCUAACUACGUG
rnacentral:rRNA from 1 species